CCUACGGGAGGCAGCAGUAGGGAAUAUUGCUCAAUGGGGGAAACCCUGAAGCAGCAACGCCGCGUGGAGGAUGAAGGUUUUCGGAUUGUAAACCACUGUCCCCAGGGACGAAAAUGACGGUACCUGGGGAGGAAGCUCCGGCUAACUACGUGCCAGCAGCCGCGGUAAUACGUAGGGAGCAAGCGUUGUCCGGAAUUACUGGGUGUAAAGGGAGCGUAGGCGGGGAUGCAAGUUGGGUGUCAAAACUACCGGCUCAACCGAUAGUCGCACUCAAAACUGCAGCUCUUGAGUGAAGUAGAGGCAGGCGGAAGUCCUAGUGUAGCGGUGAAAUGCGUAGAUAUUAGGAGGAACACCAGUGGCGAAGGCGGCCUGCUGGGCUUUUACUGACGCUGAGGCUCGAAAGUGUGGGGAGCAAACAGGAUUAGAUACCCCAGUAGUC
rnacentral:rRNA from 1 species